GGAUGAUCUGCCACACUGGAACUGACGCACGGUCCAGACUCCUACGGGAGGCAGCAGUGAGGAAUUUUGCGCAAUGGGGGAAACCCUGACGCAGCAACGCCGCGUGAGUGAUGAAGGCUUUCGGGUCGUAAAGCUCUGUCAAGUGGGAAGAAACCACGAGGUGAUAAUAUCGCUUUGUGCUGACGGUACCACUGAAGGAAGCACCGGCUAACUCCGUGCCAGCAGCCGCGGUAAUACGGGGGGUGCAAGCGUUAUUCGGAAUCAUUGGGCGUAAAGGGCGCGUAGGCGGUUUGUUAAGUCAGAUGUGAAAGCCCGGGGCUCAACCCCGGAAGUGCAUUUGAUACUGGCGGACUUGAGUAUGGGAGAGGGAAGUGGAAUUCCUGGUGUAGAGGUGAAAUUCGUAGAUAUCAGGAGGAACACCGGUGGCGAAGGCGACUUCCUGGACCAAUACUGACGCUGAGGCGCGAAGGCGUGGGUAGCAAACAGGAUUAGAUACCCUGGUAGUCCACGCAGUAAACGGUGAUCACUAGGUGUAGCGGGUAUUGACCCCUGCUGUGCCGCAGUUAACGCAUUAAGUGAUCCGCCUGGGGAGUACGGCCGCAAGGUUAAAACUCAAAGGAAUUGACGGGGGCCCGCACAAGCGGUGGAGCAUGUGGUUUAAUUCGACGCAACGCGAAGAACCUUACCUGGGUUUGACGUCUCGGGGAUUUUUUGGAAACAAGAAAGUGCCCUUCGGGGAGCCCGAAGACAGGUGCUGCAUGGCUGUCGUCAGCUCGUGUCGUGAGAUGUUGGGUUAAGUCCCGCAACGAGCGCAACCCUUAUCUUUAGUUACCAUCACUUCGGGUGGGGACUCUAAAGAUACUGCCCCGGUUAACGGGGAGGAAGGUGGGGAUGACGUCAAGUCCUCAUGGCCUUUAUGCCCAGGGCUACACACGUGCUACAAUGGGCGAUACAAAGGGUAGCGAGCCUGCGAAGGUGAGCCAAUCCCAAAAAGUCGUUCCUAGUUCGGAUUGGAGUCUGCAACUCGACUCCAUGAAGCUGGAAUCGCUAGUAAUCGCGAAUCAGCACGCCGCGGUGAAUACGUUCCCGGGCCUUGUACUCACCGCCCGUCACACCAUGAGGGUUGGUUGUACCAGAAGUUGUUGGGCUAACCCGCAAGGGAGGCAGGCACCUAAGGUAUGGCUGAUGAUUGGGGUGAAGUCGAAACAAGGUA
rnacentral:rRNA from 1 species